AAAAAUUCAAAUCUUAGAAUUUCGUGUCCAACUUUAACUGUUCGUCUUAUAUGAAAUUUUUUUAUAAUUCAUAUUUUAUUAUUUUUAGAUGAUAAAACAUGAUUAAUAUUUUAUGUGUGACUUGUCUUUUUUAAUUUUUUUCAUAAUUUUUUUAAAUAAUUUUUUAAAUAAGACGGACGGUCAAAUGUUGGGCAUGGAAACCAGGGUUUGUAUUUUUU
rfam:Oryza barthii chromosome 3, whole genome shotgun sequence.